rnacentral:lncRNA from 1 species
GAAGCAGCCACGACUUAUAUCGCAGCAGCAGAUUAUCUGGUGGGCCUAAUCUAAUCACAUGAACCUUUUAAAAGCAAAGAGCUUUCUCAGACUGGUGACAGAGGAAAUGUCAGAGAGAUUCAAAGCACAAGGCCACUGCUACCUGAAGAUGGAGGGGAACACGUGCAAGGACUGGAGAGCUGCUUCUAGUUUCUGAAAACAACCGCUGGCAACAACCACCAGGAACUGAAUUCUGCCAACAAUCCAUCUGAGUUUGGAGGCAGACUCUUCUCCAGAGCCUUCAGAUAGGAGCCCAGCCUUGAUUUCAGCCUCAUGAGACCCUAAGCAGAAAACCCAGUCAAGCCCACCCAGAUUUCUGACCUACUGAACUGUGAGACAAUA